rnacentral:rRNA from 1 species
GCGAUUUUUUCAUGCAUCAAAGAUCGUUAAGACUAGAUGGGGUAUCCCUACAUAGCGGGUGGGACCCACGGUGAAUGGUUCAUCAAGUCUUCAAAAAAGAAUAUAUACGAUUGCAUUGCAUAUACUAACGGAUGCGAUCAUACCAGCACUAAUGCACCGGAUCCCAUCAGAACUCCGCAGUUAAGCGUGCUUGGGCGAGAGUAGUACUAGGAUGGGUGAACCUCCCGGGAAGUCCUCGUGUUGCAUCCCUCUUUUAUGUUUA